rnacentral:misc_RNA from 1 species
CAUGAUGAAGACAGAGUAAGUUGGAGGCUUUUUAAUUUUUAUUUAUGCUUUGAUGUUUAAAGUUUCCUUUCAGUUGUUGUUAACAAUCCUGAAACUGGCAUCUGUUCUUUUGAGUAUCUCUUGUAUUGAGAAACUCCUUGGCAAGGUGGUUCCACUGUGAUUUGAUUUUUAGAAGGGCGCAUCACUUGAUUGAGAAAUGUUUUCUCUAGUUUUUAAGAGUGGGUAAAACUAUACAAAUUUAUGCUUAUUUGUAUAGGCCCCUACUUCCUCCUUGUUGCAGGAUAGUGAACCAGAUAU